CCUACGGGUGGCAGCAGUGAGGAAUAUUGGUCAAUGGGCGUAAGCCUGAACCAGCCAAGUCGCGUGAGGGAUGAAGGUUCUAUGGAUCGUAAACCUCUUUUAUAAGGGAAUAAAGUGCGGGACGUGUCCCGUUUUGUAUUUACCUUAUGAAUAAGGAUCGGCUAACUCCGUGCCAGCAGCCGCGGUAAUACGGAGGAUCCGAGCGUUAUCCGGAUUUAAUGGGUUUAAAGGGUGCGUAGGCGGCCGUGUAAGUCAGCGGGGAAAGUCUGUGGGUUAACCAUAGAAUUACCGUUGAAACUGGGAGGCUUGAGUAUGUUUGAGGCAGGCGGAAUGCGUGGUGUAGCGGUGAAAUGCGUAGAUAUCACGCAGAACCCCGAUGGCGAAGGCAGCCUGCCAAGCCAAGACUGACGCUGAUGCACGAAAGCGUGGGGAUCAAACAGGAUUAGAUACCCCUGUAGUC
rnacentral:rRNA from 1 species